UAGGGAAUCUUCCGCAAUGGGCGAAAGCCUGACGGAGCAACGCCGCGUGAGUGAUGAAGGUCUUCGGAUCGUAAAACUCUGUUAUUAGGGAAGAACAAAUGUGUAAGUAACUAUGCACGUCUUGACGGUACCUAAUCAGAAAGCCACGGCUAACUACGUGCCAGCAGCCGCGGUAAUACGUAGGUGGCAAGCGUUAUCCGGAAUUAUUGGGCGUAAAGCGCGCGUAGGCGGUUUUUUAAGUCUGAUGUGAAAGCCCACGGCUCAACCGUGGGAGUUCAAUGGAAACUGGAAAAAUUGAGUGCAGAAGAGGAAAGUGGAAUUCCAUGUGUAGCGGUGAAAUGCGCAGAGAUAUGGAGGAACACCAGUGGCGAAGGCGACUUUCUGAUCUGUAAAUGACGCUGAUGUGCGAAAGCGGGGGGAUCAAACAGG
rnacentral:rRNA from 1 species